rnacentral:rRNA from 1 species
AAGGAUUCCCCUAGUAACGGCGAGUGAAGCGGGAAGAGCUCAAAUUUGUAAUCUGGCGGCCUUUGGCCGUCCGAGUUGUAGUCUCGAGAAGCGUUUUCUGCGUCGGACCGUGUACAAGUCCCUUGGAACAGGGCGUCGUAGAGGGUGAGAAUCCCGUCUUUGACACGGACUGCCGGUGCUUUGUGAUGCGCUCUCAAAGAGUCGAGUUGUUUGGGAAUGCAGCUCAAAACGGGUGGUAAAUUCCAUCUAAAGCUAAAUAUUGGCGAAAGACCGAUAGCGAACAAGUACCGUGAGGGAAAGAUGAAAAGCACUUUGGAAAGAGAGUUAAACAGUACGUGAAAUUGCUGAAAGGGAAACGCUUGAAGUCAGUCGCGUCUCCCGGGACUCAGCCGUGCCCUAUCGGGCGCGGUGUACUUCCUGGGUGUGACGGGCCAGCAUCGAUUUCGGCCGUCGGAGAAAGGCCUUGGGAAUGUGGCACCUUCGGGUGUGUUAUAGCCCUGGGUCGCAUGCGACGGUCGGGAUCGAGGACCGCAGCACGUUUCUCCUUCCUUCACGGGGAGGGGCUCGGGGUUCGCCCACGCAAACGUUGCUUAGGAUGCUUGGCGUAAUGGCUUUAAGCGACCCGUCUUG